rnacentral:lncRNA from 1 species
UUAAUCAAGAUGUAAAAUUCUCCAAACCGUAAUUUAUAUCCAAUUUACCUAGGUCUACGUAUCCAGAAAUCCUAAACAAGUAGUGCCUUUUGCUCUAGCUAAGUAUGAGAUUAAGGAUAUUAAACCUAUAAUCUAAUUCCUGAUUACACUAUGUCCAUUGUUUUAUGUUUAUUCUUAAUCCCAUGAAUUCUUAAAGAAUAUUCAGAUAAUAAUAUCAUAAGGUUAUUCCUAUUCUCCAAGUCUAUCAUAAUGUCUAUCACCUCCAAAAAUUGUAAAAUUUAUACCUAAUACGAUCUAGGAAGAUUUUCAACCUUAAUUAUGUUCUCUCUAUAUUCUUUACUCCAAACNNNN